AACAGGAGGUUGAAGGUGCCAUCCAGAAUAUGCAGUUGGGAAAAUCUCCAGGACCGGACGGUUUAACCUCAAAAUAUUACAGAACUUUGAAAGACUGGUUAAUUCGACCAUUAACUGAGGUUUGUAAUGAAAUUCUAGAGGGGAAAAGAGCGCCAGAGUCGUGGAAAGACGCAUUUAUUACACUUAUACCAAAGGUUGAGACUGAAAAGACACAGCUUAAGAACUACCGGCCCAUAUCCCUGUUAAAUGUGGAUUACAAAAUUUUUGCUGAUAUCUUAGCAAAAAGGCUUAAAAAAGUGCUAAAUGGAGUGAUUCACAAGGACCAAGCUGGCUUUCUUCCAGAUAGACAUCUUUCGGACAACACAAGGAACAUAAUUGAUAUUCUGGAGAAGCUGCAAGAGGAGAUCAAUACUAAAGCAGUUUUGAUUUUUGUGGAUGCAGAGAAAGCCUUUGACAAUAUUUCUUGGAGUUUUAUGAAGAAAAAUCUUCAGGGGAUGGGGGUAGGCCAAGAGUUUGAAAAUGGUAUAAAUGCAAUUUAUUCAGAGCAAAAAGCUAAAUUAAUAGUUAACAAUGUGAUAACAGAGGAAAUUAAGAUAGAGAAAGGGACACGACAAGGCUGCCCAAUUUCCCCAUUACUUUUUAUUUCUGUUCUGGAGGUUUUGUUAAAUAUGAUAAGAAGGGACCAUUUGAUUAAGGGUAUAACGGUCGGAGCGAAACAAUAUAAACUGAAAGCAUUUGCAGAUGACCUUGUAUUGACAUUACAGGAGCCAGAAUCUAGUACGAAAAGAGCAUUAGAACUGAUUCAAGAGUUUGGUCAGGUGGCAGGUUUUAAGCUGAAUAAGUUUAAAACUAAAGUACUUGAGAAGAAUUUAACACUGAUUGAAAAAGAGAGGUUUCAGAAUGAGACAGGUUUAACAGUGGUAAAAAAAGUGAAAUAUUUGGGGAUUCACAUGACAGCUAAAAAUGGGAAUUUAUUUAAAGACAAUUACGAAAAGUGUUGGUCGGACAUUAAAAAGGAUUUAGAAAUAUGGACAAAUUUGAAGCUUUCCUUGUUAGGUCGAAUUGCUGUCAUCAAGAUGAAUGUAUUGCCAAGAAUGCUGUUUUUGUUUCAAUCGAUACAAAUAAUAGAUAAAAUGGACUGUUUUAAGAAGUGGCAGAGAGAUAUUUCUAAGUUUGUCUGGCAGGGCAAGAGGCCCAGGAUAAAAUUUAAAAUAUUGACUGAUGCUAAAGAAAGAGGGGAUUUGCCCUGCCAGACUUUAAACUUUAUUAUGAAUCAGCAGCUUUCUGCUGGUUGAAGGAUUGGUUACUUCUGGAAAAUACUGAUGUUUUGGACUUAGAAGGUUUCAAUAAUGUGUUUGGGUGGCAUGCAUAUUUGUGGUAUGACAAGGUUAAAGCUCACAAAAUAUUUAAAAACCAUAUUGUCAGGAAAGCAUUGUUCAAUGUCUGGAUAAGAUAUAAAGACUUAUUGGAAAAUAAAACCCCAAGGUGGCUAUCACCAAUGGAGGCAAAGGCCCUAAAAAGUCCAAUAUGGAGGCCAAGUGGCCAAAAUAUUGGGAGAUCUUGGAACAAGAAGGAGAUAAAUUCAAAUUGCAGAGUUUUGAAAAAUUAAAAGAUAGAGUGCGAGACUGGUUGCAUUACUAUCAAAUAAGAGAGGUUUAUAAUUUGGAUAGAAAAAUUGGCUUCCAGGUGGAAAAAUCAAAGUUGGAAACAGAACUGUUAGAUCCCAAAACUAAAACACUUUCAAGAAUGUAUAACUUGCUGCUAAAAUGGAAUACUCAGGAUGAAACGGUAAAAUCUGCUAUGAUUAAAUGGGCACAGGAUGUUGGACACAACAUUAUGUUUGCUGACUGGGAACGGUUAUGGACCACAGGUACGAAGUUUACAGCAUGUAAUGCUUUAAAAGAGAAUAUAAUGAAAAUGGUGUACAGGUGGUACAUGACCCCAGUCAAGCUUGCAAAAAUCUAUCACUUGCCCGAUAAUAAAUGUUGGAAAUGUAAAGAAACUGAAGGUACAUUCUUUCACCUUUGGUGGACGUGCCCAAAGAUUAAGGCUUUCUGGGAAAUGAUAUAUAAUGAAUUAAAAAAGGUAUUCAAAUAUACCUUCCCUAAGAAACCAGAGGCCUUUCUCCUGGGCAUAGUCGGCCAAUCGGUGUUAAAAAAGGAUAGAACUUUCUUUAUGUACGCAACAACAGCAGCAAGAAUUCUCAUCGCAAAGUAUUGGAAGACACAAGAUUUACCCACUCUGGAAGAAUGGCAGAUGAAGGUAAUCGAAUAUAUGGAACUGGCUGAGAUGACUGGCAGAAUCCGUGACCAGGGAGAAGAGUCGGUGGAAGAAGAUUGGAAGAAAUUUAAAGACUAUCUACAGAAAUACUAUAAAAUUAAUGAAUGUUAAAUUGAGGUCUGACUGAAAAUAACUGGUAUUGGCAAAAGUCUUGUGAUUAAGAGCAUGGAAUAUUUGAUGGAUAAAGCUGUAAUAUUUAUAUAUAAAUAGAUUAACUUUGAGUUAAGAUAAAGAAAGGAGGGUAAGGAUUUGCUGAAAGGAGUUUUUAAAUGGAAAUACAAGCGGGGAGAUGCGGGGAAGUCAAAGAAUUAGGUAAUGAUAAGAAGGUUAAAUGAAAGUAUAUUAUUUUUUAAAUUUUUCUGUCUCUUUUUCUUUUUUUUCUUUUUCUUUUUGUGUUAUGGAUAUUGUUAUCUAUGUUUGUAUUUUGUUAUGGUUAUUGCUGUUUUCUGUUUGUCGAAUUUUUGUAUUUUUCUACAUCUUUUGGAAUUUGUUUUUGUAAAACCAAUAAAUAUUA